UCCGGUGUGGUGUAUCGGUAACAUAUCCGCCUCUCAGUGCUUUGUCAUAAACCUGACGCGGUUGCGCGGGGUUCGAUUCCCCGCACCGGAA